rnacentral:lncRNA from 1 species
UCUUUGUGCUCCUUUCCCCUGCUGCCCUUCCAGAUGCGCUCUUUCCAGAAAGGCAGCACACGCAUGUCUCUGCCGUGGCCCCAGAUCCUCCCCGCGCCGCCGUUUUGAGCGUUCACACUCAUUACCCAGGCACCGCCCGGACGGUGGCAUCCUUGAAAAGCAGGUCUUGGCCAUGAUAGUUGGAGGAGUCGAACAUUUUGAACCCGUUCUUAUUGUGGUCGUCUCCAAACAGGUCCUGGAAGCACCGCAGGCAGACGACCUGCUCCUCACUGGGCUCAGGCAGGGUCACCCGCCCAGUGCCGCUAGCUGCAAAUUGCUUUACAUACAGUGACCCAAAGAGCAAGUCAUUUCAGGGCCCCACCACUCUGAUUGGAAGUCAUAAGCUUGACAACUGAUUGGCCUCUGUCACCCAAGCGGGUGUGGGGACACUAGGCCCGCAGGUGCCACUGGAAGAGGCGUUCAGAAGCACUGCGGUGCUCCAGCUCCUGGAUGCAGAUAUCUCCCCACAAACCUAAACAAUUUCGAGAGGGACUUGUGUUCUGCAACCAGUCACAGAAUAUCAGGUGAGCUGGGCGUGUCUUCACUGACCCACCCGCCCAGGGAUGCUGCACUCCUCUCCACCCUGCUCAGAAUCACUAGAAUGACCGUUCUGUGGCUACAGCCCUAAAAGAGCUACUAAAAAGACCAGAAGUAGUAUGAGAACUUAUGAAUACGAAUAUAAAUAAAGGACAUCUGGA